AUUGAACGCUGGCGGCAGGCCUAACACAUGCAAGUCGAACGAGUGGCGGACGGGUGAGUAAUGUAUGGGAAACUGCCCGAUGGAGGGGGAUAACUACUGGAAACGGUGGCUAAUACCGCAUACUAUCGGAUGUGCCCAGAUGGGAUUAGCUAGUUGGUGGGGUAACGGCUCACCAAGGCGACGAUCCCUAGCUGGUCUGAGCGGAUGACCAGCCACACUGGGACUGAGACAUGGCCCAGACUCCUACGUGAGGCAGCAGUGGGGAAUAUUGCACAAUGGGCGCAAGCCUGAUGCAGCCAUGCCGCGUGUAUGACGAAGGCCUUCGGGUUGUAAAGUACUUUCAGCGGGGAGGCGUUACCCGCAGAAGAAGCACCGGCUAACUCCGUGCCAGCAGCCGCGGUAAUUG
rnacentral:rRNA from 1 species